rnacentral:rRNA from 1 species
UACGUAGGGGGCAAGCGUUGUCCGGAAUCAUUGGGCGUAAAGAGCGUGUAGGCGGCCCGAUAAGUCCGCUGUGAAAGUCCAGGGCUCAACCCUGGAAUGCCGGUGGAUACUGUCGGGCUCGAGUUCGGAAGAGGUGAGUGGAAUUCCUGGUGUAGCGGUGAAAUGCGCAGAUAUCAGGAGGAACACCGGUGGCGAAGGCGGAUCUCUGGGCCGUACCUGACGCUCAGGUGCGAAAGCUAGGGGAGCGAACAGG